CACUUUCCCGUGCUCCUGUGCGCAGACUUAAUUGGAGCAGGUCCGUGGGAGGUCAGGAGAUUGCGUGGGGAGCUUGGUUAUAAAAUGUGGACCCGAAUCCCGGGUGUCCGAGGAACUUCUGCUUUUGCGGCCUCCCCUUCACACGGUUUGAAGUGCAAGUUUCAGGUCCAAGUAACUGCCCUGACUGAGCCUGCAUGCAGUAGGGGCGGCCGGCAGACGCUAGGCUUAAACUACUAGACAAUCUUUCUGCUCCCACCCCUUUCUCUCCACCUCCGGCCUGACUGUCGCUGGGUCGCCCCGCUAGAGUCGCUUGUUCUGAGAGCUUGGAUGCACUUGCCCUCCAGUUCCCGCGAACUUCUGAGUAGCUGCUGAGCCGCGUUGCCUGCGGAGCCCUCAGCUUCCACAGCCUCCAUCAUGCGCGUGUGGGUCCCCGUGGGUGUCCUGACCUCGCUGGCUUACUGCUUCCACCAGCGGCGGGUGGCCCUGGCCGAGCAGCGGGCUCCUAAUGGCCAGCGUCCGGUGGACCGCAACCUACUGGAGCUGAAAAUGGUGCAGGUGGUGUUUCGACACGGGGCACGGAGUCCGCUCAAGCCUCUCCCGCUGGAGGAGCAGGUGGAGUGGAACCCCAAGCUUUUAGAGAUCCCACCUCAAACUCGGUUUGAUUACACUGUCACCAAUCUAGCUGGGGGCCCGAAACCUCAUUCUCAUUACGACACUGAAUACCGCAAGACCACCUUGAGGGGUGGCGUGCUUGCUGGGCAGCUGACCAAGGUGGGCAUGCAACAGAUGUUUGCCCUGGGAGAGAAACUGAGGAAGAAUUACGUGGAGGAUAUUCCCUUCCUUUCACCAGUCUACAACCCCCAAGAGGUCUUUAUUCGCUCCACCAACAUGUUUCGGAAUCUGGAAUCUACUCGGUGCUUGCUGGCUGGACUUUUCCAACAUCAGAAAGGGUCUGCCGUCAUCCAUACUGAUGAGGCAAGCUCUGAAGUCCUGUACCCCAACUAUCAGAGCUGCUGGGUCCUGAAAGAGAAGACUAGGGGCCGGAAGAAGGCUGCCAUUUCGCAGCCAGGCAUCUCAGAGGAUUUGGAAAAGGUGAAGACCGGGGUGGGCAUCAACAACGGUGAUGACGUGGACUUCUUUGUUCUCCUGGACAACGUGGCUGCUGAGCAGGUACACAGCCUUCUAAACUGCCCGGCCCUGGAGAGAUUCGCCCAGCUGAUUGAGCAGAGGGCUGUGGACAUGGCCCUGUAUGUGGUGGAACAAGAAGACAGCCUUUCUCUGCUGUGCUCCUCACCCUGAGAGUUGAGUUACCGUCACUGCGACGAGAUGACCCAGAUGAAAAGGGAUGGGAGCUGAACAGGACUAAAGAAGAGUCCUUACGGCUCAGCUCCAGAAGUUAGAGGUGGCUGGAGGCCCAGGCAGCGGGGAAAGUAUCCAGAUGGCAGUGGGCCCAUUCCUACACAUCCUGGAAGGAAACCUGCUCAAAACUGUGGACCCUACCACCGCACCCAGCAAGACCAGAAAGAUGUACCUCUAUGCAACACAUGAUGUAACCCUCCUGCCUAUGCUGUUGGCCUUGGGGAUUUUUGACCAAAAAUGGCCCCCAUUUGCUGUUGACCUGACCAUGGAACUCUACCAGCACCAAGAAUCUAAGGAGUGGUUUGUGCAACUCUUUUACAAUGGGAAGGAGCAGGUACCAAGGGGCUGCCCCGACAAGCUCUGUCCACUGGACAAGUUCUUGAACACCAUGUCAGUUUACUCUGUAAGCCCAGAAAAAUACCGAACACUCUGCUCCAAAACACGAAUAGUAGAACUUGGAGAGUGACUUGUUUACACAGACAAGUUGAUUUUUAAAUAAAGUGCCUUU